rnacentral:lncRNA from 11 species
GCCCCUUAGAUUUCUCUUUCUUUGAGUCAGAGAUACAGGCAAGUGGGUCGACCAGAUGGUGAGGACGAGCUCCGCUUAAACCAAGCACGAUCUCUUUAGGUAGAUAACUUUUAUUCAGCCACCAGAGGUGCGGCCACACUGCACUUGGGCACCACUUCAAGCGCCCAGGCUCCACCCGAUGGAAUCCUGGGGCCUGUAGUCUGUCGCAGCAGCCCCAGAGCUCUCAGGCUGAGAAAGGACAAACGCCUACAUAUCCUAUAGCCUUGAGCCAUAGCAGUGGGGCUGCAUCGUGAGAAAGAGGGAGGGAGAGGAGGCAAGAACUACGACUCCCAUGAUACUCCACGGCAAGGCGGGGUAUAUAAAGGGAGGAAUGGCUCGCGAGGAGGCAGUCGGAGGCGGGCGGCUGCUCUUGGAGAGGCAGAGAGAGAGAGAGAGAGAGAGAAGUAGGAGCGUCCCGGGAUGUUGCGGACAGGCGGCUUUGCCUUCUCUCCGGAUGGGAUUUGGCUUCACUUUGGGAGUCUGACAAGCAGAGCAGAGCUAAGGGAGAAAAAGGAAGGAAAGAGAUGGUGGGAGGAAGAAACUGCGGAGAGGGCUCUUCCUCUCAAUUUUCCCAAUCGCAUAAACGGAGCAGAAAACGGAUAGAGAUCAGGAUGUGGAGCCCUUCCCCGCUUUGGAUGGUUGUCUUCCGUCAAGGUUUUUUCGCUCUUAGAUGUUUGGUACUCCCCCUUAUGUGGAAUACAAUCCUCGAAUGAAGUCCCUUUUCCAAGGAGGCGUUCAAGGUUGUGAAUUUUCCAUUGGUGUACCCUUCCUUUGGGACAUUAUACGGAGCCAUUCGCUGUCAGUACAAAAUGUUAAGCAGUGUCGACAUGGAAAUGGGACUGCAUUACUUGUUUUCAUUUUCCUUUUCUUUCUGAUAUCCCUUCCUGGAACCUACAUUUGUGUCACUCGUGAAGGCAGGUGAACCUCCCAUGUAGGCAAAUAGAAACCUUUUUCAAGAUAGCUGCAGAAUCCUUUCCAAGUGUAAACAGAACUGUAGUGAAGAGUUGCCAAAUUGUUCUUUGUCACAGGGCAGGGGUGGAAAACCUGUGGCUCUUAGACCUACUUCCCAUCAUGCUUGGACAUGCUGGUAGUGAUAUUGGAGACCGUAGUCAAGCAUCAUGAGAAGGGCAGCAGGUUACUUAUCUCUAGCGAAAGGGGUUGGGCAUACUAAUAGGAUGUAUUGACUGUAAUAAAAAGAAACAUUUGGAACUUUGCAUUUAAAGGAUGCCCUGGCUGAAAUGAUCAGCUUGCCACUCAAACAAAGUGUUUCCCUGCUUAGAUGAAAAUGCACAGGUACACAAGUAAAGAUGGAGUGUUUAGUACUUGGAAAAUAGGAAAGACAUGCAUCUUUUUUGCUGUAAAGGACUCUGUUGGGUUAUGAAGUAAUUCAUGGCAGCAAAAUAAUACUCAACAUAUUAUUUAGUUUACCAGUUCUCAGUCACUCACCAGAAAUCUCAAAAUGUAAUGGUUUUUUUCCCCUGCCUCAUACCUUUGUGUAACCUGUGUGCACCUGAUACGGAGUGAAAAUCUAUGCAUACUCAUCUUUCUUGUCUACUUUUAUUGUGAAGAUUUUAUCACUCUGGUCUUGCAGUGCUUGAUUUCUAAUAAUGCCAUAAGACAAAUAGUUUUCUGCAAAAAUAUUUCUAUUGAACAUUUCCUGGGAGAGACAUGAUAUAUGAGAUUACCUGAUAAUGAGGGACAUCUUCUGGUCUUUAAUCCGUGGCAGAAUUUCUCAAUAUGACAACCCUACACGGCCAGAAGUGCUGAAUCUUCAGAGGCACACAAAUCCCCGAACCCCUCAGGUGUCACUGACUGCUCAGGCUGCCUCUUUUCAUGAGUUCAGUGCAAGUAAAUAACACUCUUAACUUUCUCAUUUGAGAAAAUAAAGCUCUUGGCUUUCUUGCUUGAAAGGAUAGGUCAGAUAAUCACACAAAAAGGAAGCCAAGGAUGUGUGUAAGUGUGUUCUCAGAAGAGAGUUGACCUUGUCAUGGCCCUUCAACUCUAUUUUACAGGUUCUUGCUCAGCAAUGCCUUCUAUAAAUUGGGUUUAUGCAGCCAAAUAGCAGCAGGUGCAUGGUGGGAAGUUUCAAAUGCUAUACAGGAUGUGAAUAAAUACUGUCCUGGAGCUGUUUGUGAUGGAGAUGUUGAAGUGUGUUGCUCAAGAAUAUCUUCAACCAUGUGCUGCUCUGUAUAAAAGAAUGGAAAAGGAAACAAGAGAGAAAUUACAAAAAUUGGGAAAAUAUUGGACUUUUAGUGCUAACAUUUAUUGUUUACUUUCAUGGACAAACUGUUGUUAGCAGUUCAAAGAAAGCAUGGAGGAGUAUCUUUCUCUCCCCCCCCCCUCCAUUUACUGUUUUGAGGCUUUAGAGCCCUUCAGUGCAACUGUUAUGCCUUGUAACUGUUUUGACUUGACAAAUAGUGUUACCUGGGGAAUCAGUUUAUGUCAAUAAAGGUAACUGUGAUAUCACAGAAUGGUGUCAUUGCCGCAAUCUGUCAAAUCAUAUCAUCUUUUGCCAGGUUCUGUUUAAAAACCUGAGUAUUAUUUUGGGUAUCAUUCAUGUAAUUCAUGUUUGUGAAAGGUUUCUUAAUGGAUGUUUGGAUAUGAAAUCGAAUUCAUAGUGCUUUCCUAAGGAGCAACUGAUACCAACUCCAAGCACUUUUUGUUAAGUGGUAGGGAAAUGUGGGAGAAUAAAAAAUAGAUUGUACGCAUAUGUCCAUGAAGUCUGCUGGUAAAAUUGGCCUAGUGAUGGAGAUGUCAAACCAAUCAAACCACUGUUAUAUGUGUAGGUAUUGGGUGAAAUGCAUUUUGGGAUGUAGACUCGGUGAUCAUUCUCCAUUUCAGAAGGUGCAAGGUUCAGAACAGGGCGACAUUGCUGAUUCUCACUGCUUUAUCCUUUCCUGCAUAUGGUAGAGAAAGGAAACUCUUUCAUGCGCAGGUCCAACACAUGAAAGCAAUUUCAUCAGUGGAACAAUAUGGUUUCAUCAAAUGGAGUAGACCAUAUGGAAGACAACUUUGCUUUGUAUGAAGGAUGUCUAUUUUAUUCUGGCAACUCAAUCUUUUAUGAAGCAUGGAUUGUGGGACAAUUCACAAAAACAUAAAAAGUAAACAACAUCCACUUUCUUCAUUCCAGAUAUGCACCUUUCUGAAUAAGCUAUUACACUCACAGCAUUAUCUAGACUUAAGUCACCUGUGCAUUACACACUAUAAAAGAGUUGAAAAAAAUAGUGCUCCAGAUUUGAAGAGAACAUUGUACCCUCCAGUAUCACAUAAAGGGUUUUGUAUAUGGUCACCCCCAUGUAGUCUUUACUUGUGUAGGUAGGUUUGAAAAAGGAUAAACCACAAAUCUGCUGUAGUUGCUGAGGAGUUCUUAGUUCUAAUGAAAUAGUAC